GAUGAACGCUAGCGGCAGGCCUAAUACAUGCAAGUCGAGGGGGCAGCGCGGUAGCAAUACUGGCGGCGACCGGCGCACGGGUGCGUAACACGUAUGCAACCUACCUUCAACUGGAGGAUAGCCCGGGGAAACUCGGAUUAAUACUCCAUAACACAGGGAUCCCGCAUGGGAAUAUUGUUAAAGCUACGGCGGUUGAAGAUGGGCAUGCGUUCGAUUAGCUAGUUGGUGUAGGUAACGGCUCACCAAGGCUACGAUCGAUAGGGGGUCUGAGAGGAUGAUCCCCCAACUGGUACUGAGAUACGGACCAGACUCCUACGGGAGCAGCAGUAGGGAAUA
rnacentral:rRNA from 1 species